GUCUAACUGCUUGGGAUGACUAUUGAUCGUAAUUUAUGGACUCCUUAUAUUUCUGUUCAUGUGCUCCCAAUUGGCAUCUAUUUACCAGAAUCUUGAGAAUACAGAAAAGAAGUCCAAGCGGUGAUCAGUUCCUACACUACUUCAACCUUUUACGUUUCUCAUUUUUUCGUACGUACCCAUAAUGCUUCAUCCAGAUCUUUGAUUGUAUCCCGCUCUUUCCUUUUAG
rnacentral:lncRNA from 1 species